rnacentral:rRNA from 1 species
UACGUAGGGUGCGAGCGUUAAUCGGAAUUACUGGGCGUAAAGCGUGCGCAGGCGGUGAGCUGUGUCCGAUGUGAAAGCCCCGGGCUUAACCUGGGAAUGGCAUUGGAAACUGGCUCGCUGGAGUGUGGCAGAGGGGGGUGGGAAUUCCGCGUGUAGCAGUGAAAUGCGUAGAGAUGCGGAGGAACACCGGUGGCGAAGGCGGGUCUCUGGGCCGGAUACUGACGCUGAGGAGCGAAAGCGUGGGGAGCGAACAGG